GGUGCCAGCAGCCGCGGUAAUUCCAGCUCAAUAGCGUAUAUUAAAGUUGUUGCAGUUAAAAGCUCGUAGUUGAAUUUCGGGACAAUAUGUCGGUCGUACUUUGUACGUACUAGCAUUAUUGGUUUCUCCCUUCUGAAGAACCGCGAUGUCAUUAAUUUGGUGUCGUGGGGAAUCAGGACUGUUACUUUGAAAAAUUAGAGUGUUAAAGCAGGCUCGCGCUUGAAUACAUUAGCAUGGAAUAAUGAAAUAGGACGUUUGAUUCUAUUUUGUUGGUUUCUAGGAUCGACGUAAUGAUUAAUAGGGAUAGUUGGGGGCAUUAGUAUUCAAUUGUCAGAGGUGAAAUUCUUGGAUUUAUUGAAGACUAACUACUGCGAAAGCAUUUGCCAAGGAUGUUUUCAUUAAUCAAGAACGAAAGUUAGGGGAUCGAAGACGAUCAGAUACCGUCGUAGUCUUAACCAUAAACUAUGCCGACUAGGGAUCGGAUGAUGUUAAUUUUUUAAUGACUCAUUCGGCGCCUUACG
rnacentral:rRNA from 1 species